UGGGGGAUAUUGGACAAUGGGGGGAACCCUGAUCCAGCGACGCCGCGUGAGUGAAGAAAGUAUUUCGGUAUGUAAAGCUCUAUCAGCAGGGAAGAAAGAAAUGACGGUACCUGAGUAAGAAGCCCCGGCUAACUACGUGCC
rnacentral:rRNA from 1 species